GCAUAUCAAUAAGCGGAGGAAAAGAAACCAACAGGGAUUGCCCUAGUAACGGCGAGUGAAGCGGCAACAGCUCAAAUUUGAAAUCUGGCGCAAGCCCGAGUUGUAAUUUGUAGAGGAUGUUUCUGGCGACGUGCCUUCCGAGUUCCCUGGAACGGGACGCCAUAGAGGGUGAGAGCCCCGUACGGUUGGAUGCCUAGCCUCUGUGAAACUCCUUCGACGAGUCGAGUAGUUUGGGAAUGCUGCUCUAAAUGGGAGGUAUACGUCUUCUAAAGCUAAAUACCGGCCAGAGACCGAUAGCGCACAAGUAGAGUGAUCGAAAGAUGAAAAGCACUUUGAAAAGAGGGUUAAAAAGUACGUGAAAUUGUUGAAAGGGAAGCGUUCAUGACCAGACUUGGGCAGGUUGAUCAUCCGUGGUUCUCCGCGGUGCACUCUGCCUGCCCAGGCCAGCAUCAGUUCGCCCCGGGGGAUAAAGGCUUUGGGAAUGUGGCUCCCUCGGGAGUGUUAUAGCCCACUGUGUAAUACCCUGGGGUGGACUGAGGUUCGCGCUCUGCAAGGAUGCUGGCGUAAUGGUCAUCAACGACCCGUCUUGAAACACGGACCAAGGAGUCGUCUUCGUAUGCGAGUGUUCGGGUGUCAAACCCCUACGCGUAAUGAAAGUGAACGUAGGAGAGAGCUUCGGCGCAUCUCCGACCGAUCCUGAUGUUCUCGGAUGGAUUUGAGUAAGAGCAUACGGGGCCGGACCCGAAAGAAGGUGAACUAUGCCUGUAUAGGGUGAAGCCAGAGGAAACUCUGGUGGAGGCUCGCAGCGGUUCUGACGUGCAAAUCGAUCGUCAAAUAUGGGGCAUGGGGGCGAAAGACUAAUUCGAACCUUUCUAGUAGCUGGUU
rnacentral:rRNA from 1 species